rnacentral:tRNA from 1 species
GGAAAUAUGGCUUAGCGGUAGAGUGCUUGCAUAGCAUGCAUGAAGCCCUGGGUUCAAUUCCUCAGUACCA